GACGAACGCUGGCGGCGUGCUUAACACAUGCAAGUCGAACGAUGACGACCGAGCUUGCUCGGUCUGAUUAGUGGCGAACGGGUGAGUAACACGUGAGCAACCUGCCCUUCACUCUGGGAUAACCUCGGGAAAUCGGGGCUAAUACCGGAUAUGAGCUCCUGUCGCAUGGCGGGUGUUGGAAAGUUUUUCGGUGAAGGAUGGGCUCGCGGCCUAUCAGUUUGUUGGUGAGGUAGUGGCUCACCAAGGCGAUGACGGGUAGCCGGCCUGAGAGGGCGACCGGCCAAAAUGGGAAGGAGAAAAGGCCCAGACCCCUAGGGGGGGAAGGAGUGGGGAAAAUUGCAAAAGGGGGGAAAGCCUGAGGGAGCGACGCCGGGGGGGGGAUGAGGGCCUUCGGGUGGGAAACCUUUUUCAGGAGGAAAGAAGGGAAAGUGAGGGUACCUGCAAAAGAAGCGCCGGCUAACUACGU
rnacentral:rRNA from 1 species